UCUGUUCUUAUUUAGGUCCAUUAAUGAUAUUAAGUACGGUGAUUAGCUAUCAGUUGCAUUCACAAUUAUGCAUUCACCACUUAAUUCUGUUAAGUGUCAUACAUACAUUUCAACCAUCGAUACCAUGUAGGAAAAAGCUUCCAGGAAGAAACAUGAAUGAUGAACCAGUUCUUUGGUUCAUUCUGGUUUAAAUUUUCUUAGUGUUAUAUUUCUAUUAUUUUAUUAAUGUCUUUCUUCCUAAUCAGAAGGCUAUUUAAUCUUGCGUUGCAGGUACUGUUUUCUGUGAGCCCAUCAUAUGCAAAAACAUUCCUAGAAUUGUUCUUGGU
rnacentral:lncRNA from 1 species